GACGAACGCUGGCGGCGUGCCUAAUACAUGCAAGUCGAACGCAGUUGGGACGGGUGAGUAACACGGGGGUAACCUCCCAUCAGAGGGGAUAACACUUUGAAACAGGUGCUAAACCGAUACUGAUGGAUGGACCCGCGGUGCAUUAGCUAGGUGGUGAGGUAAAGGCUCACCAAGGCCACGAUGCCUAGCCGGCCUGAGAGGGUGAUCGGUCAAACUGGGACUGAGACACGGCCCAGACUCCUACGGGAGGCAGCAGUAGGGAAUCGUCGGCAAUGGACGAAAGUCUGAUCGAGCAACGCCGCGUGAGUGAAGAAGGUUUUCGGAUCGUAAAACUCUGUUGUUAGAGAGGCGGUAUCUAACCAGAAAGCCACGGCUAACUACGUGCCAGCAGCCGCGGUAAUAC
rnacentral:rRNA from 1 species